rnacentral:rRNA from 1 species
UUGAACGCUGGCGGCAUGCCUUACACAUGCAAGUCGAACGGUAGAGGGGCAACCCUUGAGAGUGGCGAACGGGUGAGUAAUAUAUCGGAACGUGCCCAGUCGUGGGGGAUAACGCAGCGAAAGCUGCGCUAAUACCGCAUACGAUCUAUGGAUGAAAGCGGGGGAUCGCAAGACCUCGCGCGAUUGGAGCGGCCGAUAUCUGAUUAGGUAGUUGGUGGGGUAAAAGCCCACCAAGCCGACGAUCUGUAGCUG